CGGCGUGCCUAAUACAUGCAAGUCGAACGCACUGUCGUCGACAGAAGGUGCUUGCACUGGAAGUUGAUUGACGUGAGUGGCGGACGGGUGAGUAACACGUGGGUAACCUGCCCUUAAGCGGGGGAUAACAUUUGGAAACAGAUGCUAAUACCGCAUAAAAGUUGAGAUCACAUGGUCUUAAUUUGAAAGACGGCCUUUGGCUGUCACUUAAGGAUGGACCCGCGGCGUAUUAGCUAGUUGGUGAGAUAAUAGCCCACCAAGGCGAUGAUACGUAGCCGACCUGAGAGGGUAAUCGGCCACAUUGGGACUGAGACACGGCCCAAACUCCUACGGGAGGCAGCAGUAGGGAAUCUUCCACAAUGGACGAAAGUCUGAUGGAGCAACGCCGCGUGAGUGAAGAAGGUUUUCGGAUCGUAAAACUCUGUUGUUGGAGAAGAACAGGGACUAGAGUAACUGUUAGUCCUUUGACGGUAUCCAACCAGAAAGCCACGGCUAACUGCGUGCCAGCAGCCGCGGUAAUACGUAGGUGGCAAGCGUUGUCCGGAUUUAUUGGGCGUAAAGCGAGCGCAGGCGGUUUCUUAAGUCUGAUGUGAAAGCCUUCGGCUUAACCGAAGAAGUGCAUCAGAUACUGGGAAACUUGAGUGCAGAAGAGGAAAGUGGAACUCCAUGUGUAGCGGUGAAAUGCGUAGAUAUAUGGAAGAACACCAGUGGCGAAGGCGGCUUUCUGGUCUGUAACUGACGCUGAGGCUCGAAAGUAUGGGGAGCGAACAGGAUUAGAUACCCUGGUAGUCCAUACUGUAAACGAUGAAUGCUAAGUGUUGGAGGGUUUCCGCCCUUCAGUGCUGCAGCUAACGCAUUAAGCAUUCCGCCUGGGGAGUACGACCGCAAGGUUGAAACUCAAAGGAAUUGACGGGGGCCCGCACAAGCGGUGGAGCAUGUGGUUUAAUUCGAAGCUACGCGAAGAACCUUACCAGGUCUUGACAUCUAGCGCCAAUCCUAGAGAUAGGACGUUCCCUUCGGGGACGCUAAGACAGGUGGUGCAUGGUUGUCGUCAGCUCGUGUCGGGAGAUGUUGGGUUAAGUCCCGCAACGAGCGCAACCCUUAUGAUUAGUUGCCAGCAUUUAGUUGGGCACUCUAAGCAGACUGCCGGUGACAAACCGGAGGAAGGU
rnacentral:rRNA from 1 species